CCUUGAGAAGCAGUCCAGCCCACAAUCAUUGCUCCAUGGCUCAGCCCACAAUCUUAGUGAGCAUUCCACUUGUUGACCUAGCUCUCUGUCUCUAUAUAAGGUAACACUCAACUUUUCACACUCAUCUUUUUAAUCAACCUAACUUGUCCCCACUUUUCAAAAUGUUUCGAAUCGCCACGGUCUUUCUUCGCCACUCCCGCACGGCUUCUCGCUCCCCACGCUUUCCACCCGCCAUCUCCACUUCCUUCACUUCCCAUUUCGCCCCACCAUUUCCCCGACUUCCCCUCCGCAACUCUCCCUUUCCACCCCUUUCACCGCGCUCAACUUCCUUCCCUUCCCAUUUCACCCAACCCUUUCCCCGAUUUCCCCUCCGCAUCUCUCCCUUUCCACCCCUUUCACCGCGCUCCACUUCCUUCCCUUCCCAUUUCACCCCACCCUUUCCCCGACUUCCCCUCCGCAACUCUCCCUUUCCACCCCUUUCACCGCGCUCAACUUCCUUCCCUUCCCAUUUCACCCCACCAUUUCCCCGAUUUCCCUUCCGUAGCUCUCCCUCUCCACCCCUUUCACCGCACUCCACUUCCUUUCUUUCCCAUUUCACCCCACCCUUUCUCCGACUACCCCUCCGCAGCUCUCCCUUUUCACCCCUUUCACCGCGCUCCACUUCCUUUCCUUCCCAUUUCACCCCACCCUUUCCCCGACUUCUCCUCCGCAACUCUCCUUUUCCACCCCUUUCACCGUGCUCCACUUCCUUCCCUUCUCAUUUCACUCCACCCUUUCCCCGACUUCCCCUCCGCAACUCUUCAUUUCCACCCCUUUCACUAUGCUCAACUUCUAUCCCUUCCCAUUUUACCCCGCCAUUUCCCCGAUUUUCCCUCCGCAGCUCUCCCUUUCCACCCCUUUCACCGCGCUCCACUUCCUUCCAUUCCCAUUUAACCCCACCCUUUCCCGGACUUCUCCUCCGCAACUCUCCUUUUCCACCCCUUUCACCGCGCUCCACUUCCUUCCAUUCCCAUUUAACCCCACCCUUUCCCGGACUUCUCCUCCGCAACUCUCCUUUUCCACCCCUUUCACCGCGCUCCACUUCCUUCCAUUCCCAUUUAACCCCACCCUUUCCCGGACUUCUCCUCCGCAACUCUCCUUUUCCACCCCUUUCACCGCGCUCCACUUCCUUCCAUUCCCAUUUAACCCCACCCUUUCCCGGACUUCUCCUCCGCAACUCUCCUUUUCCACCCCUUUCACCGCGCUCCACUUCCUUCCCUUCUCAUUUCACCCCACCCUUUCUCCGACUACCCUUCCGCAGCUCUCCCUUUCCACCCCUUUCACUGCGCUUUCACCGCGCUCCACUUCCUUCCCUUCUCAUUUCACCCCACCCUUUCCCCGACUUCCCCUCCGCAACUCUUCCUUUCCACCCCUUUCACUGUGCUCAACUUCCUUCCCUUCCCAUUUCACCCCGCCAUUUCCCCGAUUUCCCCUCCGCAGCUCUCCCUUUCCACCCCUUUCACCGCGCUCCACUUCCUUCCCUUCCCAUUUCACCCCACCCUUUCCCCGACUUCCCCUCCGCAACUCUCCCUUUCCACCCCUUUCACCGCGCUCAACUUCCUUCCCUUCCCAUUUCACCCCACCAUUUCCCCGAUUUCCCCUCCGCAACUCUCCCUUUCCACCCCUCUCACCGCGCUCCACUUCCUUCCCUUCCCAUUUCACCCCACCCUUUCCCCGACUUCCCCUCCGCAACUCUCCCUUUCCACCCAUUUCACCGCGCUCAACUUCCUUCCCUUCCCAUUUCACCCCACCCUUUCCCCGACUUCCCCUCCGCACCUCUCCCUUUCCACCCCUUUCACCGCGCUCCACUUCCUUCCCUUUCCGUUUCACCCCACCCUUUCACCUCUUCUUCAUUUUUUUUUUUGAAUUUGAGUUGUUCUUGUUUUAUUUUCCUUUGUGUCUAUAUGAUUCUUUUGCUCCCCAAUCUGCUCCUAUGAUGAUCCGCGAUCCGCAAAGCUACUCCUAUGACCCUACUCCUAUGAUCCCCGAUCCACCAAGAAGCCCAAUGGGCCAUCAUUUGAUGGCCCAGCCCACAAUCUUGAUGAGUCCGUGAGAAGCAGCCUAGCCCACAAUCAAUUCUCCAUGGCCCAACCCACAAUCUGGCGAGUUUGAUGCGUCCUUGAGAAGCAGCCCAGCUCACAAUCAUUGCUUCAUGGCCCAGCCCACAAUCUAGCGAGUUUGAUGCGUCCUUGAGAAGCAGCCCAGCCCACAUUCAUUGCUCCAUGGCUCAGCCCACAAUCCUAGUGAGCAUCUCACUUGUUGAACUAGCUCUCUGCCUCUAUAUAAGGUAACACUCAACUUUUCACACUCAUCUUUUUAAUCAAAAGACAACGAAAACCUAACUUGUCCCCACUUUUCAAAAUGUUUCGAAUCGCCACGGUGUUUCUUCGCCACUCCCGCACGGCUUCUCGCUCCCCAUGCUUUCCACCUGCCAUCUCCACUUCCUUCACAUCCCAUUUCACCCCACCCUUUCCUCGACUUCCCCUCUGCAACUCUCCCUUUCCAUCCAUUUCACCGCGCUCAACUUCCUUCCCUUCCCGUUUCACCCCACCCUUUCCCCGACUUCCCCUCCGCACCUCUCCCUUUCCACCCCUUUCACCGCGUUCCACUUCCUUCCCUUCCCAUUUCACCCCACCCUUUCCCCGACUUCCCCUCCGCAACUCUUUCUUUCCACCCCUCUCACCGCGCUCAACUUCCUUCCCUUCCCAUUUCACCCCACCCUUUCCCCGAUUUCCCCUCCGCAGCUCUCCUUUUCCACCUCUUUCACCGCGCUCCACUUCCUUCCCUUUCCGUUUCACCCCACCCUUUCCCCGACUUCCCCUCCGCACCUCUCCCUUUCCACCCCUUUCACCGCGUUCCACUUCCUUCCUUCCCAUUUCAUCCCACCCUUUCCCCGACUUCCCCUCCGCAACUCUCCCAUUCCACCCCAUUCACCACGCUCCACUUCCUUCCCUUUCCAUUUCACCCCAUCCUUUCCCCGACUUCCCUUCCGCAACUCUCCCUUUCCACCUCUUUCACCGCGCUCCACUUCUUUCACUUCUUAUUUCACCCUAUCCUUUCCUAGAUUUCCCCUUCGCAGCUCUCCCUUUUCAUCCAUUUCACCGCGUUCAACUUCCUUCCUUUCCCAUUUCACCCCAACCUUUCCCCGAUUUCCCCUCCGUAGCUCUCCCUUUCCACCCCUUUCACCGCGCUCCACUUCCUUCCCUUCCCAUUUCACCCCACCCUUUCCCCGACUUCCCCUCCGCAACUCUCCCUUUCCACCCCUUUCACCGCGCCCAACUUCCUUCCCUUCCGAUUUCACCCCACCAUUUCCCCGAUUUCCCCUCCGCAGCUUUCCCUUUCCACCUCUUUUUUUGUUUUUUUUUUUAUUUCACCCCACCCUUUCCCCGACUUCUCCUCCGCAACUCUCCCUUUCCACCCCUUUCACCGCGCUCCACUUCCUUCCCUUCUCAUUUCACCCCACCCUUUCCCCGACUUCCCCUCCGCAACUCUUCCUUUCCACCCCUUUCACUGUGCUCAACUUCCUUCCCUUCCCAUUUCACCCCGCCAUUUCCCCGAUUUCCCCUCCGCAACUCUCCCUUUCCACCCCUUUCACCGCGCUCCACUUCCUUCCCUUCCCAUUUCACCCCACCCUUUCCCCGACUUCCCCUCCGCAACUCUCCCUUUCCACCCCUUUCACCGCGCCCAACUUCCUUCCCUUCCGAUUUCACCCCACCCUUUCCCCGAUUUCCCCUCCGCAGCUUUCCCUUUCCACCUCUUCUUCAUUUUUUUUUUUUGAAUUUGAGUUGUUCUUGUUUUAUUUUCCUUUGUGUCUAUAUGAUUCUUGUGCUCCCCAAUCUGCUCCUAUGAUGAUCCGCGAUCCGCAAAGCUACUCCUAUGACCCUACUCCUAUGAACCCCGAUCCACCAAGAAGUCCAAUGGGCCAUCAUUUGAUGGCCCAGCCCACAAUCUUGAUGAGUCCGUGAGAAGCAGCCUAGCCCACAAUCAAUUCUCCAUGGCCCAACCCACAAUCUGGCGAGUUUGAUGCGUCCUUGAGAAGCAGCCCAGCUCACAAUCAUUGCUUCAUGGCCCAGCCCACAAUCUAGCGAGUUUGAUGCGUCCUUGAGAAGCAGCCCAGCCCACAUUCAUUGCUCCAUGGCUCAGCCCACAAUCCUAGUGAGCAUCUCACUUGUUGAACUAGCUCUCUGCCUCUAUAUAAGGUAACACUCAACUUUUCACACUCAUCUUUUUAAUCAAAAGACAACGAAAACCUAACUUGUCCCCACUUUUCAAAAUGUUUCGAAUCGCCACGGUGUUUCUUCGCCACUCCCGCACGGCUUCUCGCUCCCCA
rnacentral:lncRNA from 1 species